CACUCCUACGGGAGGCAGCAGUGGGGAAUAUUGGACAAUGGGCGCAAGCCUGAUCCAGCCAUGCCGCGUGAGUGAUGAAGGCCCUAGGGUUGUAAAGCUCUUUCACCGGUGAAGAUAAUGACGGUAACCGGAGAAGAAGCCCCGGCUAACUUCGUGCCAGCAGCCGCGGUAAUACGAAGGGGGCUAGCGUUGUUCGGAUUUACUGGGCGUAAAGCGCACGUAGGCGGACUUUUAAGUCAGGGGUGAAAUCCCGGGGCUCAACCCCGGAACUGCCUUUGAUACUGGUAGUCUUGAGUUCGAAAGAGGUGAGUGGAAUUCCGAGUGUAGAGGUGAAAUUCGUAGAUAUUCGGAGGAACACCAGUGGCGAAGGCGGCUCACUGGUUCAAUACUGACGCUGAGGUGCGAAAGCGUGGGGAGCAAACAGGAUUAGAUACCCCAGUAGUCCCAUGAU
rnacentral:rRNA from 1 species